rnacentral:tRNA from 1 species
GGAGGGGUGGCCGAGUGGUUUAAGGCACCGGUCUUGAAAACCGGCGUGGGUGCAAGCCCACCGUGGGUUCGAAUCCCACCCCCUCCGCCA